UAGAAGACACCGCCACUCUACCA
rnacentral:siRNA from 1 species